rnacentral:rRNA from 1 species
UACGUAGGGUGCGAGCGUUGUCCGGAUUUAUUGGGCGUAAAGAGCUCGUAGGCGGUUUGUCGCGUCGGCCGUGAAAUCUCCACGCUUAACGUGGAGCGUGCGGUCGAUACGGGCAGACUUGAGUUCGGUAGGGGGGACUGGAAUUCCUGGUGUAGCGGUGAAAUGCGCAGAUAUCAGGAGGAACACCGGUGGCGAAGGCAGGUCUCUGGGCCACUACUGACGCUGAGAAGCGAAAGCAUGGGGAGCGAACAGG